rnacentral:rRNA from 1 species
CAAGACAACUUUACGGAGUUGACGAUUGACGGAGCGAAGCGACGUCAAAGCGUUCAUUAAAGUCGAGUUGGCUUAGGGAUACGUUCGUUGGGUAGGGGAGCGUUCUGUAAGCCUGCGAAGGUGGCCUGUGAGGGUUGCUGGAGGUAUCAGAAGUGCGAAUGCUGACAUAAGUAACGAUAAAGCGGGUGAAAAGCCCGCUCGCCGGAAGACCAAGGGUUCCUGUCCAACGUUAAUCGGGGCAGGGUGAGUCGACCCCUAAGGCGAGGCCGAAAGGCGUAGUCGAUGGGAAACGGGUUAAUAUUCCCGUACUUGGUGUUACUGCGAAGGGGGGACGGAGAAGGCUAUGUUGGCCGGGCGACGGUUGUCCCGGUUUAAGCGUGUAGGUGUGUGUUCCAGGUAAAUCCGGUUCACUUUAACACUGAGGCGUGACGACGAGGCACUACGGUGCUGAAGCAACAAAUGCCCUGCUUCCAGGAAAAGCCUCUAAGCAUCAGGUAACAUCAAAUCGUACCCCAAACCGACACAGGUGGUCAGGUAGAGAAUACCAAGGCGCUUGAGAGAACUCGGGUGAAGGAACUAGGCAAAAUGGUGCCGUAACUUCGGGAGAAGGCACGCUGACACGUAGGUGAAGUGAUUUACUCAUGGAGCUGAAGUCAGUCGAAGAUACCAGCUGGCUGCAACUGUUUAUUAAAAACACAGCACUGUGCAAACACGAAAGUGGACGUAUACGGUGUGACGCCUGCCCGGUGCCGGAAGGUUAAUUGAUGGGGUCAGCGCAAGCGAAGCUCCUGAUCGAAGCCCCGGUAAACGGCGGCCGUAACUAUAACGGUCCUAAGGUAGCGAAAUUCCUUGUCGGGUAAGUUCCGACCUGCACGAAUGGCGUAAUGAUGGCCAGGCUGUCUCCACCCGAGACUCAGUGAAAUUGAACUCGCUGUGAAGAUGCAGUGUACCCGCGGCAAGACGGAAAGACCCCGUGAACCUUUACUAUAGCUUGACACUGAACAUUGAGCCUUGAUGUGUAG